GGGAGAUUCACGGACUGAUGCGAUUCCCCGGUAGGUGAAUCUUGCCUUCUGCUAAACUGGUGAACCCUGAACUUGUGGCGCGGUCAGAACCAGUUGCUGAGUUGCUUGAUUUGGAUCUGAAAGAGGGUUGUCGGCUGGAUUGCUUAGGCAAGCUACAUACACAAUAGCAUGACUUGGGUCAUUUAG